rnacentral:rRNA from 1 species
UGGGGAAUAUUGGACAAUGGGCGAAAGCCUGAUCCAGCCAUGCCGCGUGUGUGAAGAAGGUCUUCGGAUUGUAAAGCACUUUAAGUUGGGAGGAAGGGCAGUAAAUUAAUACUUUGCUGUUUUGACGUUACCGACAGAAUAAGCACCGGCUAACUCUGUGCCAGCAGCCGCGGUAAUACAGAGGGUGCAAGCGUUAAUCGGAAUUACUGGGCGUAAAGCGCGCGUAGGUGGUUUGUUAAGUUGGAUGUGAAAUCCCCGGGCUCAACCUGGGAACUGCAUCCAAAACUGGCAAGCUAGAGUAUGGUAGAGGGUGGUGGAAUUUCCUGUGUAGCGGUGAAAUGCGUAGAUAUAGGAAGGAACACCAGUGGCGAAGGCGACCACCUGGACUGAUACUGACACUGAGGUGCGAAAGCGUGGGGAGCAAACAGGAUUAGAUACCCAUGUAGUCCCUGAGCGGGCUGGCAAGGCGCAU